GAAGUUGACCAGACAGUCGCCGCUUCGUCGUCGUCCUUUCGGGGAGACGGGCGGAGGGGAGGAAAGUCCGGGCUCCAUAGGGCAGGGUGCCAGGUAACGCCUGGGGGGGAAACCCACGACCAGUGCAACAGAGAGCAAACCGCCGAUGGCCCACGUAAGUGGGAUCAGGUAAGGGUGAAAGGGUGCGGUAAGAGCGCACCGCGCGGCUGGUAACAGUCCGUGGCACGGUAAACUCCACCCGGAGCAAGGCCAAAUAGGGGUUCAUAAGGUACGGCCCGUACUGAACCCGGGUAGGCUGCUUGAGCCAGUGAGCGAUUGCUGGCCUAGAUGAAUGACUGUCCACGACAGAACCCGGCUUAUCGGUCAGUUUCACCU
rnacentral:RNase_P_RNA from 2 species